rnacentral:lncRNA from 1 species
GGAUGUCAAUUCCUGUCUUGCUCACUUUCAAAAAGUCAUUAACCAGGUCCAGGUGAUAUAUACUUUUGACAACACAUUAGCUGCUGUUGUUGCUCAAUGACCAAAGCAUCUUCCAUAGUCACUCCACUUCCCAAUUAUCACUCUUUUCCUGCAGCAUGCUGUUACAACUCUUGACAAAAAAGAUUCCAUUCUUCUCCACUGUCCAUCUUAGGGAAUCUCUCUUACUGUCAUCCAAAGUAUAAGAUUCCAAUGAAUUUAUUAACUGACUGGUUCUCCAUUAAUUUCCUGGUUGUUGAAAUGUCUUCUAAAAUUCAGCUGCCAUCUGUUUCCUACAAAACAAUCAAUAAUCAAACAUUUUUUUGUUAAUUGUUUAACUGUACAAAAUAGAGAACUGCACUUGUAUGGUUCUUAGAGAACAACUAUUUGAGAAGGUAUAGAUAUAGUGGUGACAUUCUUUUGAGAUUCUUUUGCAUUUCCUUUUGCACAUAGUUUUCUAGUAGCGUGGCAUGUUCAGCUUACAAGUUUAUCGUGUACUUUGCAUUAUAUAUGGAAUCGUAAAAGUUUUUCUUUCUAUCUCAUAUAAAUUUGAUUGGACAUGGAGUCUAAGUUGUUUAUUUGACAUGCAUAUUAUUUUAUUAAUGAUAUUGAAAAAAAGGUUAAGCAGUCACUUGUUUAUCAUAGAUUUCUUCUGCACGUUUUUCCUGAUCACUUGCAAUCUCUGUUUCCUCUGUUCCUCUGUUAUUUGAGCCUCUAAAUUUACAGCCUUAGCAUUGCCAUAACUUAGUGCCCCAUGGUCACUGCUUUCAACGCAUCAUUAGAAUCUGUAUGCAUAGCUGGUUCACAUCCAGUUUUGUCAUCAUGAACCAAAGCAACUUCAUUAGAAUCUGUAUGCAUAGCUGGUUCACAUCCAGUUUUGUCAUCAUGAACCAAAGCAACUUCACCUUCCAGUUCUUGUACCUCCUUUUGCACAGUAGUACCUUUCAAAUCUGCUGGUUUCUCAACUUCAGCAGUGGCCUUAGUAAUCACAACAUCAAUUUUCACACCAGUUGCAUUCAAUGCAACAUUAGUCUCCAAUGAUGAACCUACAAAAUUUGAAUUUUUACUUUGUCCUAUAACUGCUGCAGGAUAUUUGGCAUUGGUAGCUCGAUCAAAUUGUGCACAUUCCUGCUGUACCUCUUUGCCAAUAACAUAAAUUUAAUUUUUCUUAAUGAGAUCAGCUUCCUUAGCAUGUGCAUCAGUAAUCUUGGAGCCUAUACCAGAUGACAAUAUGGCUGCAGCCCUAACCACCUUAUCAUAAGCCUGUACAACUGGAUUCACGACAUUGAACUCUCCUUCAAUUUGUGAAAGCUGCUGAUCACCCACAGCAGCAUUCCUGACCAGUACACUAUUUUUUCUCCGAUCCUCCUUACCAUUGGCCUCUACAGUAGUUUGAUUUGUUACUGCAUUAUUCUCUAGUGGUGCCUUGUCAUGUACACUAGAUACCACAGUUUUCCCCGUAUCUACAGUCAUGAAACAAGCUCUUUGUGCACCAGCAAAAGGCUGACCAGCUAUAGGUUCUUGAGCUUGUGUAUCAUCUUUAGCCACUGCCUCAACAUCUGUAGCAAUUGUACCAUCCAAAUUUUUCACACCAGUUGCAUCCUCAUCAGCAGUAACAACCUUUGCCAAAGCAUCUAGAUCCUUCACCAACACAGUAUUUUGCAUCUCCUUCUCAUUACCAGAUACCUUAACCUGUUGUUAAGCCAUAUCAAACUUUUUUUGCAAUAACAUCUUGAUCAGUAGGAGCCCUCAAUGCACCAGCAGUAUGUGAAUGCAUCCUUGAAAAAAUUAUAGCAGUAGAGAUAUCCUUCAACCUCUCAUUAUCUCCAGAUUUAUCCACACCUACACUCAGUUUUUUGCCCAGCGUCAACUGGAACUGGAGUAGCAGUACACUCACCACCCUUAAAAGUCCCAGCUAUCUCUUGCAUCAUCCUUUGAAACACUAGCAGGAACUUCACUUGCGCGAUUCACCACCUUAUCAUUGUUCACAUUAACCAUUUGUUUUCCUCCUUGCAAUACCUACUCAUGUAUAGAAGUUUGUUUCACCAGUCAGUUGUACAACUGCAUCAAUUCGAUUAGCAACAUUCUUUGAGCCCGGAUUACUUGACAGAAUUUGUGCAACCUUAGUCAAUUUGUCAUAAGCUUCGACAAUUGGAUUGACAACAUUAGAGUUCCUUGCAGGCACAUCUCGAGAAGACGGAUAUGGACCUUUGUCGACCUUUGAAACAUCACCAACAUGAUUACCCACAGCAAUUCUAUUUUCACUGUUUUGCAUAACAACUUGCUUUCCACCUUCAAUUUGCAUGAUCUGUUGUCCAGCCAGAUUUUCUUUUUCUGUUUGAACUUCCUGAUGCCCAGCUCUUUUUGCAUUGAGAAAUUCCCUAGACAUGUUUAGCUUUAAAAUUCAUUACUUGCUAAUCACUUCUGUUUCAUUUUUUAUCAUAGUGUGUGAUGGUAUUUCAGGUCCUUUAACACAAUUAUUUUAUAAUUUUAGGUUAUACUAUCUAAUGUUCCAUAAUUUAGCGGCGGGAAGAUUUCAAAAAGAUGAAAAAAUGCAAAAAUCAUUUUUUUAUCAUAGUGUGUGAUGGUAUUUCAGGUCCUUUAACACAAUUAUUUUAUAAUUUCAGGUCAUAUAAUCUAACAUUCGAUAAUUUAGCAACGGAAGAUUUCAAAAUGAUGAAAAACUGCGAAAAUCAUUUGAAGACCAUCAAACACUCCUAAACCUGUCCUCGAGGGUGCCUUGAAGCUGCUGAUUAGCCAUGAGAGUAUCU